GAUAAUGUUUCUUAGUGGCAGAGUGCUUGUCUAGCAUGCAACAGGCCCUGGGUUCAAUCCCUGGCAACAUCA
rnacentral:tRNA from 1 species